UUGCUACUGUUAUGAAUCAUAAUGUAAAUAUCUGAUAUGCAGGAUGGUCUUAGGCGACCCCUGUGAAAGGGUCCUUCUAUCGCCAAAGGGGUCACGACCAACAGGUUGAGAACCGCUGGUCUAAAGUCAUGUCAAAUAUAAUCUUGAGACUUGCUUCUCUUGACCAUAUUCUCAAGUUACCCAUGGUACAUAAAUAUUUUUGCAUGAUUUUGCCUGGUUAUUUUUCUUAGUUAUUACUCCUCUUAAUUUUUAUUCACUUAAUUAUUAAUUCAACAAAUUAUGUUUCCUUCAGAGUGUUUUAUACAUGUGUUUUUCACUCAAUUUAACAUAAUUGACAAUUUAUCUCUAAAGUCUAAAGCCAUUUUCUAAGAUAUUCCUAUCCCCUUACAAGAAUUCUUUAAAUCCUCAUGUAUUUUUAAUUUGUAGGAACGUUUUUUAGAUGGAACAAACAUUAGAGAUUUCUUUCAUUAUUUUUGAAAUGGGCAUUACCUGGCCAAUAUGCAGACACAAACAUUGUUGAAUGUAUGGCUUUAACUGCAUCUUCUUAAUGAAGUUGAGGAAACCUGUCUCAUAUUUGUGUGUUUGUAUCUUUUAUCUCAGCUUGGAGGAAGGCUCAAUUUAAGUUGGUUUGGAUGAAGGCGCCAUUGUAUGCUGGUGAGUGACAUGGACUGUGAUUAAAGAAAUCUUAUUAUCAAAGAUUUUUAGUUGAAUACUGUGUGUGCAAUUCUGAAAAUCAAAGAAACCCCAAAGUAUACAUUCCAUGAACUCAAUAGAUUAUUCAAUAUUUUAACAGAUAAGGAUGUGUUUAAAACAUUACAUUUUAGUAGAUUUUAUUUAUUAAUUUCAUCUCACAUUGUCUUAAGCAUAGGUAGAGUGUUCAUCAUCUGCUAAAAAUUUAGGAAACUAAAGCAAAAAAAUAAGUUAUUUGGUCAGACUCACCUUAUGCCCUAUUUACUGUCAAACAUCCUAAAUAGAUUAUAGAUAUUUAUCCUAUAGGAAUGUUGUGUGAGGAGCGCAUAAGAAUGGGUCAGAUCUUCAAGUCAGACAUAAUUUAGGAGGUGGUACAAGAGCCUGUAGUAUAUUACAGAGUAUUAUCUUUUGUUGUUUUAUCUUGAAUUAACCCCAGUGAAUUUAUACUAAUAGAAUUCUGGACAGACAGACAGCGUAUCUUUCAAAUGGUGGGUCCUGAUGUUCAUUUGUUCUGUUCCUUUCAGAUUGGAGAAAAGAGGAGUUCGAAACUGUAAAUGUGAUUCUGGAUGCAGGCACUGCCCAUCCUGCCCUCCUGUGUGAAGAUGGGAAACGAGUAACCUGGCGAGAGCCUUGUCAAGAUCUACCCCACUCCACACAGAGAUUUGACUCCCUUCCCUGCGUGCUGGGUCAGCUGGACCUCAGGAGAGGGAGAUCCUUCUGGGAGGUGGAGGUUGGGAACGCACGUUCCUGGGACCUGGGAAUUUGCAGGGAUAAUGUCACGAGGAAAGGGAGGGUUACUAUGUCUCCACAGAAUGGUUUCUGGGCCAUAAGGCUCUAUGAGGGGGCGUACUGGGCCCUCACUUCCCCAGAAACCCCUCUUAGUCUAAAACAAAGACUCCUUAAAUUGGGGAUAUUCCUGGAUUAUGAGGCUGGAGAUGUAUCUUUCUAUAACAUGACAGAUGGGUCCCACAUAUUCAGCUUUCCUAAGAACACGUUCUACGGUGCCCUAAAACCUCUUUUCAGGCUUUGGUCAUCUGACUCAGGCUCCCUAACCAUCUGCCCGGGGGGAAGAACGCCUGAUGUUACAAUUGAUAUUCCUAAUUAACUCUCAUAAGAAAGUAUUACUUUGGGCCCCAAUUAUGAUAUAAACUGAUUUUGUCCUUCUUCUUACUGGUUCAUGUUCAAAAUGAAGCUCUGAGACACUGAUGAUUUCCCUCAUAUCAGUUCCUCCUUCUUCCUUAGUUAGACUCCUCUCAUUAUUGCCUUGUCCUAGGACAGCCUAAUACAGUGAUGGCGAACCUAUUACACGCAUGU